rnacentral:tRNA from 1 species
GGCUCUGUCAGCUCGAGGCACUCGGCGGGAUUCCGCUGGCCGUCGAGGAAGGUCCAAUCUCUAGCCGAUCCGUUCGAAUAGAAGAGAACUAUCAAAUUGAUCUUUACGGCGUAAACUUGAAGUUGGUGGAAUUGAUAUUGCCCUCAAUUGUCGACAUUUUAAGAGCUCUGUUUAACUACGAUUUAUGGAUUACAAUCUUAUGAAAAAAGGGGAAAAAAAAAAAGAAAAAAAGAAAAAAAAGAAAGAAGCGCUUAAGCCAUUGUAGGGUCUUGCCGCGACUCGAACGCGGGGCCUCUCGCAAACAUUUUGCAUUAGGGUGAGCCCUAAGCGAGAAUCAUACCACUAGACCACAAGACCCGGGGUUGGGAAGAUUGCGGCGUAAUUGGCUUUAUCAG